rnacentral:lncRNA from 1 species
GCAUUAGACAGAAAGCUGGAAGUUGAAAUGGUGGAGUCCAACUUGCCUGGACCAGCUUAAUGGUUCUGCUCCUGGUAACGUUUUUAUCCAUGGAUGACUUGCUUGGGUAUGGAGAGUCGGCUUGACUACACUGUGUGGAGCAACUUUUAAAGAAGCAAAGGACUCAGAAUUCAUGAUUGAAGAAAUGCAGGGUUUUUAACGACCACAACAAGCAAGCAUGCAGCUUACUGCUUGAAAGGGUCUUGCCUCACCCAAGCUGGAGUGCAGUGGCCUUUGAAGCUUACUACAGCCUCAAACUUCUGGGCUCAAGUGAUCCUCAGCCUCCCAGUGGUCUUUGUAGACUGCCUGAUGGAGUCUCAUGGCACAAGAAGAUUAAAACAAUGUCUCCAAUUUUAAUAAAUUUUUGCAAUCCA